UACGUAGGUGGCAAGCGUUAUCCGGAUUUAUUGGGCGUAAAGGGAACGCAGGCGGUCUUUUAAGUCUGAUGUGAAAGCCUUCGGCUUAACCGGAGUAGUGCAUUGGAAACUGGGAGACUUGAGUGCAGAAGAGGAGAGUGGAACUCCAUGUGUAGCGGUGAAAUGCGUAGAUAUAUGGAAGAACACCAGUGGCUAAAGCGGCUCUCUGGUCUGUAACUGACGCUGAGGUUCGAAAGCGUGGGUAGCAAACAGG
rnacentral:rRNA from 1 species